rnacentral:rRNA from 1 species
AUUGAACGCUGGCGGCAGGCCUAACACAUGCAAGUCGAGCGGAUGAAGGGAGCUUGCUCCUGGAUUCAGCGUCGGACGGGUGAGUAAUGCCUAGGAAUCUGCCUGGUAGUGGGGGAUAACGUCCGGAAACGGGCGCUAAUAACGCAUACGUCGUGAGGGAGAAGGAGGGGGAUCUUCGGAACUCACGCUAUCAGAUGAGCCUAGGUCGGAUUAGCUAGUUGGUGGGGUAAAGAGCUACCAAGGAGACGAUCCGUAACUGGUCUGAGAGGAUGAUCAGUCACACUGGAACUGAGACACGGUCCAGACUCCUACGAGAGGCAGCAGUGGGGAAUAUUGGACAAUGGGCGAAAGCCUGAUCCAGUCAUGCCGAGUGUGUGAAGAAGGUCUUCGGAUUGUAAAGCACUUUAAGUUGGGAGGAAGGGCAGUAAGUUAAUACCUUGCUGUUUUGACGUUACUAACAGAAUAAGCACCGGCUAACUUCGUG